rnacentral:SRP_RNA from 1 species
CUCCGGGCUCUGUGCAGCGGGAUGCUGUGAACUCCGCCAGGUCUGGAAGGAAGCAACGGUAGCGGCCUCUUCCGCGUGCCGCGGAUUCCCCGGAGCCC